rnacentral:rRNA from 1 species
GACAGAGGCCUCGAGCGUUAGGCGGAAUCACUGGGCUUAAAGCGCGUGUAGGCGGAUCGUUAAGUGCCUUGUGAAAUCCUGCGGCUCAACCGCAGAACUGCUGGGCAUACUGGCGAUCUUGGGCCACUCAGGGGUCACUGGAACAAGCGGUGGAGCGGUGAAAUGCGUAGAUAUGACAUAGAACACCUAUUGCGAAGGCAGCUCACUACGGGAUUAUUGACACUGGAGGCACGGAAAGC